ACCAGGCAGAGUAACAUUACCUUUGUUUCUACUAAAUGUUUUCUGUACCUACAUAAUUUUGUGCUUUACAAAGUCCUUUUGAUUUAAACUAACUUCUGGCUCUACAAAUAUUUUUAUUUUUUUUAACUUGAAGUUGGUUUAACCAUUGGCAGAGUGAGACUUUUAAAAUUAAAUAAAACAACUGAAAGCUUGGAGCAGUGACAUGCAUGACGACUUCUUUUAUUUGUGUUUUUUUGUAUUUGUGUGUUCUUGCUGUUUUGUAGCUUUCGCGCUCUAGUUCAAUGAGUUCAUUAUCACGUGAAGUAAGCCAGCAUUUUAAUCAGCCUUCCGCCGUACCACCCUCAGGGGGACCUCCAGCAGGAACAGUACAGUUCUACAAUCCCUCUCAAUUUGCACAAUCUCCUGCAGUUACUGGAAGUUCAAGGCUGGGAAGAAUUGGACAGAGGAAAUACCCAACGUUGAAGUAGAAUACCGUGGUUUUGUAUUCAAAUUCACACUCUUGUUCUGAUUAUACAACGAACUCUUCAAUCUUAUGGCCCGUGCAUCAGUGCUAGCUUGCAAUUAACAGGACAGUAAUUUGAGGAUGGGUGAUUUUUUUUUUCCUGAGUCUUGCUACUCGCACCUCAUCUACACAAGUAAUUACCAAACAUAAAAUAUAUGUACCUUUUCCUUUUAAGAACUGGCUAGAAACAGCUCGUUGUGGUAAAGAAUAGACCUAAGGGAGGAAAUAGCUGCUGUCUGUUACAAAAACUCUUGGUAAAUUGCAUAGGCAAUUGAUUCCUUAAGUUUAUUUUAAACGGACUAGUGUGACUUUCAGACAUAGGUGUCAGGGAUUCCUUAAUUUCUGAAGGAGACUCCCCUCCCAGUGGGGAACAUACAUGUCCACAUUGUAAUAUAACACUCUGUGGCCUUAAGAGGACCAUGCACAAUUUUAAUGCUUAUAAAACAAGACUUGAUUUGUCAACAUACGAAAUUCA